rnacentral:lncRNA from 1 species
GGAGGGCGGAAGCCACGGGACGUGGAGCAGAUGGUGAGGAUAGUGGGGAGGUAGCAGCAGAGGAUGACCCGAGGCAAAAGUGCAAGUGAAGAAAAGUCGCCUUGCCGGGCAGAGGUACGGGACCAAGGCGCCUCCUCUGGGCUGAGGAGUUAGAGGGAAGAAAAUGGCGCCCUGUCAUGAGGGCGCGAGGUCCGAGUUGAGGGGAGAAGACUGAGGGACACAGAAGUGGCCGAAGUGAGGGCGCUGAGGUCAGCCUGAGCUGAGAGGGCCGGCAGAUCACGCCGCAGCCGAAGUGAACGAACUCGAGUGAGCUCUUCUCUUUUUCAGGAAAUUACUCCAGGAUUUGAAUCAUCACAAGAGAUUCACCAGAGGAUUUUAUACACUUGGGCUGUGGCAGCAGACUAAUUACAUCACAGCACUAGG